GCGACGAUGGACGUCGAUCAACACGACGUUGAGACGUUGAGUCUCAGCCACGGCCACGUUGUUAGGGACGUCGACGGGCGACAUCAGGCACAUGGCCCAGGCGGCGUGCUGAAGCUGCACUUCGCGACCGUACUCCUCGAGGAUAUCUUGAACACUCAUGGCGGAAGGGGGGAUGGUAUGAGAAGUCGAAGAGUCGAGUAGGCU
rnacentral:lncRNA from 1 species